rnacentral:rRNA from 1 species
AUUGAACGCUGGCGGCAGGCUUAACACAUGCAAGUCGAGCGGGGUGAUGGUGCUUGCACUAUCACUUAGCGGCGAACGGGUGAGUAAUACAUCGGAACGUGCCCAAUCGUGGGGGAUAACGUGGCGAAAGCUACGCUAAUACCGCAUACGAUCUACGGAUGAAAGCGGGGGAUCGCAAGACCUCGCGCGAAUGGAGCGGCCGAUGGCAGAUUAGGUAGUUGGUGGGGUAAAGGCUCACCAAGCCGACGAUCUGUAGCUGGUCUGAGAGGACGACCAGCCACACUGGGACUGAGACACGGCCCAGACUCCUACGGGAGGCAGCAGUGGGGAAUUUUGGACAAUGGGCGCAAGCCUGAUCCAGCCAUUCCGCGUGCAGGAUGAAGGCCUUCGGGUUGUAAACUGCUUUUGUACGGAACGAAAAGGCUCUGGUUAAUACCCGGGGCUCAUGACGGUACCGUAAGAAUAAGCACCGGCUAACUACGUGCCAGCAGCCGCCGUAA